GCCGGAGUGUUGGAAUGGCAGACAACUCGGACUUAAAAUCCGAUGUUCCGUAAGGAACGUGUGGGUUCGAGUCCCACCUCCGGCA
rnacentral:tRNA from 1 species